rnacentral:sRNA from 1 species
AGGAAUAUUAAUUAAUUGAUAAUAAUUAAUGCUAAUGGCAUUUCUUGUAAAUAAGUUUUAACUUGAGGAAUUAUUUGCUAAAACGGCUACAAAAAUGUAUAUGUAGACUAGAUUUUAACCCGCGGUACACCGCGAAGACAAUUUAUAUAUUAAAUUAGUAUAUAUAAAAGUUUGCAAAUUAUAUCUAUCUAUAAAAUAUUUUUAUUUUAUAGUUUACAAUUAUUAUUAAAUAACGUCCUGCCAAACCCGUCCCGCCAAACCCGUCCCUUAAAAAAACCCGCGGUACACACGCUAAUUUAAAUAUAUAAUUAAAAUAAAUAUUUUACGGGAUUGCAAUUGUAUUUUGGUUUGUCAAACAAAUAUUUGUUUUAAAUAGUUACAGAAAUCUAGUUCAAAUUUUGGAGAAAUAAGUUUUAUUGGAUAGAUAAAGAAUGUAUUUAGGUGCGUUUUGCUUAUUUUAAGGAAUUGCAAUUGUAUUUUCGUUUGUCAAAUAUAUUUUGUUUUAAAUAGUUGCCGAAAUCUAGUUCAAAUUUUGGAGAAAUCUGCGUGACGUAUGAGAUUGAAAUAUAUUUGGAAUGUUUUUCGUUUGUUAAUAAUUUUAUUGCCAAAAAAAAACAAGAAUUAAAAGCCAGUGGCAGCCAUUGUAAAUAAGUCUCAACUCCGGGAUUUAUUUUAUAAAAUGACUGCAAAAAUGUAUAUGUAGACUAGAUUUUAAAGUUAGUAUAUAUAAAAUUUUGCAAAUUGUAUCUAUCUAUAAAAUAUUUUUAUUUUAUACUUUAUAUUUGUUAUUAAGUAACGUCCUGCUAAACCCGUCCCGCCAAACUCGUCCUGUAAAUAAACCAUUAUUUUAUUAAUGUGAAUCUUAUUUAUAAUAUGUUUAUGAAUCAUUGUCUAAAUAUUUUAGUUCAUGUGGGACGUAUAACUCACACAUUUUUUGCCAAUUGGUUAAUAUAUGUUUAUUUUUAAAAUUUCGAGUCACAAAAUAUGACGGAAAGAAUUAAGAUUUUUUUAAACUUUAUAUAUU